rnacentral:rRNA from 1 species
UUGCUCCCCGGGUGACGAGCGGCGGACGGGUAAGUAAUGUCUGGGAAACUGCCUGAUGGAGGGGGAUAACUACUGGAAACGGUAGCUAAUACCGCAUAACGUCGCAAGACCAAAGAGGGGGACCUUCGGGCCUCUUGCCAUCAGAUGUGCCCAGAUGGGAUUAGCUAGUAGGUGGGGUAAUGGCUCACCUAGGCGACGAUCCCUAGCUGGUCUGAGAGGAUGACCAGCCACACUGGAACUGAGACACGGUCCAGACUCCUACGGGAGGCAGCAGUGGGGAAUAUUGCACAAUGGGCGCAAGCCUGAUGCAGCCAUGCCGCGUGUGUGAAGAAGGCCUUCGGGUUGUAAAGCACUUUCAGCGAGGAGGAAGGUGGUGAACUUAAUACGUUCAUCAAUUGACGUUACUCGCAGAAGAAGCACCGGCUAACUCCGUGCCAGCAGCCGCGGUAAUACGGAGGGUGCAAGCGUUAAUCGGAAUUACUGGGCGUAAAGCGCACGCAGGCGGUUUGCUAAGUCAGAUGUGAAAUCCCCGGGCUCAACCUGGGAACUGCAUUUGAAACUGGCAAGCUAGAGUCUCGUAGAGGGGGGUAGAAUUCCAGGUGUAGCGGUGAAAUGCGUAGAGAUCUGGAGGAAUACCGGUGGCGAAGGCGGCCCCCUGGACGAAGACUGACGCUCAGGUGCGAAAGCGUGGGGAGC